GCAUUGAUGGUUCAGUGGUAGAAUUCUUGCCUUCCAUGCAGGAGACCUAGGUUCACUUCUAGGACAGUGCA
rnacentral:tRNA from 1 species